UACAGAGGUUACAAGCGUUAUCCGGAUUUAUUGGGCGUAAAGCGUUUCGUAGGCGGUCUGAAAAGUUAUUUUUCAAAUACCACGGCUUAACCGGGGGAAGGGAGGUAAUACUGGCAGACUUGAUUAUUGGUGGGGUUUCUAGAACUGAUGGUGUAGUAGUGAAAUACGUUGAUAUCAUCAGGAAUUCCAAGGGCGAAGGCAGGAAACUAACCAAUUAAUGACGCUGAGGAACGACAGCUAGGGGAGCGAAAGGG
rnacentral:rRNA from 1 species